CCCUUAGAUGUUCUGGGCUGCACGCGUGCUACACUGAUAUUGCCAAUAUGUCAUUCUUAUCCGAAAUGGAUUGGGUAAUCAAGUAAUGAAAUUUCAUGCUUGGAAUCGGUAAUUGCAAUUUUAUCGUGAACGAGGAAUUCCUAGUAAGCAUUAGUCAUCAGCUAAUGUUGAUUAUGUCCCUGCCCUUUGUACACACCGCCCGUCGCUACUACUGAUUGGGUGUUCAAGUGAGAUGCUUAGACCCUUGUUGCAUGGUUCAUUAUUGUGCUCCGAAAGGAAAAAGUUUCAAGCUUGAGUGUCUAGAGGAAGUAAAAGUCGUAACA
rnacentral:rRNA from 1 species